CACGUAGGGCGCAAGCGUUGUCCGGAAUCAUUGGGCGUAAAGCGCGUGUAGGCGGCCCGAUAAGUCCGCUGUGAAAGUCCAGGGCUCAACCCUGGAAUGCCGGUGGAUACUGUCGGGCUCGAGUCCGGAAGAGGCGAGUGGAAUUCCUGGUGUAGCGGUGAAAUGCGCAGAUAUCAGGAGGAACACCGAUGGCGAAGGCAGCUCGCUGGGACGGUACUGACGCUGAGACGCGAAAGCGUGGGGAGCAAACAGG
rnacentral:rRNA from 1 species